rnacentral:rRNA from 1 species
UACGAAGGGUGCAAGCGUUACUCGGAAUUACUGGGCGUAAAGCGUGCGUAGGUGGUUUGUUAAGUCUGAUGUGAAAGCCCUGGGCUCAACCUGGGAAUUGCAUUGAAUACUGGCAGGCUAGAGUGCGGUAGAGGGUAGUGGAAUUCCCGGUGUAGCAGUGAAAUGCGUAGAUAUUGGGAGGAACACCAGUGGCGAAGGCGGCUCACUGGACCGGAACUGACGCUGAGGCGCGAAAGCGUGGGGAGCAAACAGG